rnacentral:lncRNA from 1 species
AGUAGUCUAAUGUUGUUCCGGUUUUGGUUCUUAUGAACGUUGACAUCGAUUCGUUACAAAUUUACACAUCCGGGGCAUAACAGAACAAUAUAAAUAGGUUUUACUCUUUAUUCGAUUGAAUGAGAAAAAGUACUCGUUGCAAAGUUAUACUGUUAUGGCGCAACAGAGUAGUCUAAUUUAGGUCCGAUUUUUGUUCUCAUGAACUUUGACAUCGAAUCGUUCCAAAUUUACACUCUCGGGGCAUAAUAGAACAAUAUAAUUAGGUUUUGCUCUUUAUUCGAUUGAAUGAGAAAAAGUUCUAGUUGCAAAGUUAUACUGUUAGGGCUCAACUGAGUAGUCUAACGUUGUUCCGGUUUUGGUUCUUGUGAACGUUGACAUCGAUUCGUUCCAAAUUUACACUCUUGGGGCAUAACAGAAAGCUUUUACUCCUUGUUCAAUAGAAUGAGAAAAAGUACUCGUUGCAAAGUUAUACUAUUAUGGCGCAACUGAGUAGUCUAAUGUUGUUCCGGUUUUGGUUUUUGUGAACGUUGACAUCGAUUCGUUCCAAAUUUCACUCUCGGGGCUUAAUAUAACAAUUUAAUUAGGUUUUACUCUUUGUUCGAUUAAAUGAGAAAAAGUACUUGUUGCAAUGUUAUACUGUUAGGGCGCAACUGAGUAGUCUGAUGUUGUUCCGGUUUUGGUUCUUGUGGAAGUUGACAUCGAUUCAUUUCAAAUUUACACUAUCGGAGCAUGACAGAACAAUAUAAUAAGGUUUUACUCUUUGUUCGAUUGAAUGAGAAAAAGUACUAGUUGCAAUGUUAUACUGUUAGGGCUCAACUGGGUAGUCUAACGUUUUUUCGGUUUAGGUUCUUGUGAACGUUGUCAUCGAUUCGUUCCAAAUUUACACACUCGGGACAUAAAAGAAAGCUUUUACUCCUUGUUCGAUACAUUGAGAAAAAGUACUCGUUGCAAAGUUAUACUGUUAUGGCGCAACAGAGUAGUCUAAUGUUGUUCCGGUUUUGGUUCAUGUGAACGUUGACAUCGAUUCGUUCCAAAUUAACACUCUCGGGGCAUAAUAGAACAAUAUAAUUAGGUUUUACGCUUUAUUCGAUUGAAUCAGAAAAAGUACUCGUUGCAAUGUUAUACUGUUAGGGCUCAACUGAGUAGUCUAACGUUGUUCCGGUUUUGGUUCUUGUGAACGUUGACAUCGAUUCGUUCCAAAUUUAUACUCUCGGGGUAUAAUAGAAUAAUAUUAUUAGGUUUUACUGUGACACCCGAAUAGUCCCACAUCGGAUGGGAAUGGGGUUGUCAUUAGGUUUAUAAGAGACUUAGACACUAGUAAUAAUAACUGGGCUUAAGCAUUUUGGGCUGUUGGUUGGGCCCCGACGAGUUAUUAUUGCUAGUGGGCUGGGUUGUUACAUUUGGUAUCAGAGCCGGUUCACCAGCUGGACAUGUGUGGCGAGUCUCGGCUGUGCCAGGGUCUGGAUGACGGGCUAGCGAGACGAGUCUCACAUCGCCUGGUGAUCUUGGGUUGUGUGUGUUUGGACUGACGAGGACGUCAGGGCCUUAACAGGGGGAGUCUGUGACACCCGAAUAGUCCCACAUCGGAUGGGAAUGGGGUUGUCAUUAGGUUUAUAAGAGACUUAGACACUAGUAAUAAUAACUGGGCUUAAGCAUUUUGGGCUGUUGGUUGGGCCCCGACGAGUUAUUAUUGCUAGUGGGCUGGGUUGUUACAUUUGGUAUCAGAGCCGGUUCACCAGCUGGACAUGUGUGGCGAGUCUCGGCUGUGCCAGGGUCUGGAUGACGGGCUAGCGAGACGAGUCUCACAUCGCCUGGUGAUCUUGGGUUGUGUGUGUUUGGACUGACGAGGACGUCAGGGCCUUAACAGGGGGAGUCUGUGACACCCGAAUAGUCCCACAUCGGAUGGGAAUGGGGUUGUCAUUAGGUUUAUAAGAGACUUAGACACUAGUAAUAAUAACUGGGCUUAAGCAUUUUGGGCUGUUGGUUGGGCCCAACGAGUUAUUAUUGCUAGUGGGCUAGGUCGUUACAUUUGUGCUUUAUUCGAUUGAACGAGAAAAAGUACUCGUCGGAAAGUUAUAUUGUUAUGGCGCAACUGAGUAGUUUAAUGUAGUUCAAGUUUUGGUUCUUGUGAACGUUGACAUCGAUUCGUUCCAAAUUUACACUCUCGGGGCAUAAUAGAAAUCUUUUACUCUUUGUUCGAAAGAAUGAGAAAAGUACUCGUUGCAAAGUUAUAUUGUUAUGGCGCAACAGAGUGUCUAAUUUUGCUCCGAUUUUGGUUCUUGUCAACGUUGACAUCGAUUCGUUCCAAAUUUACACUCUCGGGGCAUAAUAGAACAAUAUAAUUAGGUUUUACGCUUUAUUCUACUGAAUAAGAAAAAGUACUCGUUGCAAAGUUAUACUGUUAUGGCGCAACAGAGCAGUUUAAUGUUGUUCCGGUUUUGGUUGUUGAAAACGUUGACAUCGAUUCGUUCCAAAUUUAUACACUUGGGGCAUAAUAGAACAAUAUAAUUAGGUUUUACACUUUAUUCGAUUGAAUGACAAAAAGCACUUGUUGCAAAGUUAUACUGUUAUGGCGCAACUGAGUAGUCUAAUUUAGUUCCGGUUUUGGUUUUUGUGAUCUUUGACAUCGAUUCGUUCCAAAUUUACACUAUCGGGGCAUAACAGAACAAUAUAAUCGGUUUUACUCUUUGUUGGAUUGAAUGAGAAAAAGUACUAGUUGCAAUGUUAUACUGUUAGGGCUCAACUGAGUAGUCUAACAUUUUUCCGGUUUAGGUUCUUGUGAACGUUGUCAACGAUUCGUUCCAAAUUUACACUCCCGGGGCAUAAAAGAACGCUUUUACUCCUUGUCCAAUAGAUUGAGAAAAAUUACUCGUUGCAAAGUUAUACGGUUAUGGCACAACAGAGUAGUCUAAUGUUGUUCCGAUUUUGGUUCAUGUGAACAUUGACAUCGAUUCGUUCCAAAUUUACACUCCCGGGGUAUAAUAGAACAUUAUAAUUAGGUUUUAUGCUUUGUUCGAUUGAAUGAGAAAAAGUACUAGUUGCAAUGUUAUACUGUUAGGGCUCAACUGAGUUGUCUAACGUUGUUCCGGUUUUGGUUCUUGUGAACGUUGACAUCGAUUCGUUCCAAAUUUGCACUCUCGGGGCAUAAUAGAACAAUAUAUUUAGGUUUUACGCUUUAUUCUAUUGAACGAGAAAAAGUACUCGUCACAAAGUUAUACUGUUAUGGCGCAACUGAGUAGUCUAAUGUAGUUCCGGUUAUGGUUCUUGUGAACGUUGACAUCGAUUCGUUCCAAAUUUACACUCUCGGAGCAUAAUAGAAAGUUUUUACUCCCUGUUCGAUAGAAUGAUAAAAAGUACUCGUUGUAAAAUUAUACUGUUAUGGCGCAACUGAGUAGUCUAAUAUUGUUCCGGUUUCGGUUCUUGUGAACGUUGACUCGAUUCGUUCCAAAUUUAAACUCUCGGGGCGUAAUAGAACAAUAUAAUUAGGUUUUGCUCUUUGUUAGAAUGAAUGAGAAAAAAUACUAGUUGCAAAGUUAUACUGUUAGGGCUCGACUGAGUAGUCUAACGUUGUUCCGGAUUUUUUUCUUGUGAACAUUGACAUCAAUUCGUUCCAAAUUUAAACUCUCGGGGUGUAAUAGAAUAAUAUAAUUAGGUUUUGCACUUUGUUCGAUUGAAUGAGAAAAAAUACUAGUUGCAAUGUUAUACUGUUAGGGCUCAACUGAGUAGUCUAACGUUGUUCCGGUUUUGGUUUUUCUGAACGUUGACAUCGAUUCGUUCCAAAUUUACACUCUCGGGGUAUAAUAGAACCAUAUAAUUAUUUUUUACGUUUUAUUCUAUUGAAUGAGAAAAAGUACUCGUUGCAAAGUUAUACUAUUAUGGCGCAACUGAGUAGUCUAAUGUAGUUCCGGUUUUGGUUUUUGUGAACGUUGACAUCGAUUCGUUCCAAAUUUACACUCUCGGGGUAUAAUAGAAAGUUUUUACUUCUUAUUCGAUAGAAUGAUAAAAAGUACUCGUUGUAAAGUUAUACUAUUAUGGCGCAACUGAGUAGUCUAAUGUUGUUCCGGUUUUGGUUCUUGUGAACGUUGACAUCGAUUCGUUUCAAAUUUAAACUCUCGGGGCGUAAUAGAACAAAAUAAUUAGGUUUUGCUCUUUUUUCGAAUGAAUGAGAAAAAAUGACAGUUGCAAAGUCAUACUGUUAGGGCUCAACAUAGUAGUCUAACGUUGUUCCGCUAUUGGUUCUUGUGAACGUUGACAUCGAUUCGAUCCAAAUUUACACUCUCGGGGUAUAAUAGAAAGCUUUUACUCCCUGUUCGAUAGAAUGAGAAAAUGUAUUCGUUGCAAAGUUAUACUGUUAUGGCGCAACGAGUAGUCUAAUGUUGUUCCGGUUUUGGUUCUUGUGAACGUUGACAUAGAUUUAUUCCAAAUUUAAACUCUCGGAGCGUAAUAGAACAAUAUAAUUAGGUUUUGCUCUUUGAUCGAUUGAAUAGGAAAAAAUAUUUGUUGCAAAGUUAUACUGUUAUGGCGCAACUGAGUAGUCUAAUUUAGUUCCGGUUUUGGUUCUUGUGAACUUUGACAUCGAUUCGUUCCAAAUUUACACUAUCGGGGCAUAGCAGAACAAUAUAAUAAGGUAUUACUCUUUGUUCGAUUAAAUGAGAAAAAGUACUAGUUGCGAUGUUAUACUGUUAGGGCUCUACUGAGUAGUCUAACGUUUUUCCGGUUUAGGUUCUUGUGAACGUUGUCAUCGAUUCGUUCCAAAUUUACACUCUCGGGGCAUAAAAGAACACUUUUACUCCUUAUUCGAUAGAAUAAGAAAAAGUACUCGUUGCAAAGUUAUACUGUUAUAGCGCAACAGGGUAGUCUAAUGUUGUUCCGGUUUUGGUUCAUGCGAACGUUGACAUCGAUUAGCAAAUUUACACUCCCAGCGUAUAAUAGAACAAUAUAAUUAGGUUUUACUCUUUGUUCGAUUAAAUGAGAAAAAGUACUAGUUGCAAUGUUAUACUGUUAGGGCUCUACUGAGUUGUCUAACGUUGUUCCGGUUUUGGUUCUUGUGAACGUUGACAUCAUUUCGUUCCAAAUUUACACUCUCGGGGCAUAAUAGAACAAUAUUAUUAGGUUUUACGCUUUAUUCGAUUGAACGAGAAAAAGUUCUCGUCGCAAAGUUAUAUUGUUAUGGCGCAACUGAAUAGUCUAAUGUAGUUCCGGUUAUGGUUCUUGUGAACGUUGACAUCGAUUCAUUCCAAAUUUACACUCUCGGGGUAUAAUAGAAAGCUUUUACUCCCUGUUCGAUAGAAUGAUAAAAAGUACUCGUUGUAAAAUUAUACUGUUAUGUCGCAACUGAGUAGUCUAAUAUUGUUCUGGUUUUGGUUCUUGUGAACGUUGACAUCGAUUCGUUCCAAAUUUAAACUCCCGGGGCGUAAUAGAACAAUAUAAUUAGGUUUUGCUCUUUGUUCGAAUGAAUGAGAAAAAAUAUUAGUUCCAAAGUUAUACUGUUAGGGCUCAACUGAGUAGUCCAACGUUGUUCCGGUUUUUUUUCUUGUGAAUGUUGACAUCGAUUCGUUCCAAAUUUAAACUCUCGGGGCGUAAUAGAAUAAUAUAAUUAGGUUUUGCGCUUUGUUCGAUUGACUCAGAAAAAA